GUGUCAGCCGCCGCGGUAAUACGGAGGGUGCAAGCGUUAUCCGGAAUUACUGGGUUUAAAGGGUGCGUAGGCGGCUUUAUAAGUCAGAGGUGAAAGCCCGCAGCUUAACUGUGGAAUUGCCUUUGAUACUGUAGAGCUUGAAACAGGUUGAGGUUGGCGGAAUGUGACAUGUAGCGGUGAAAUGCAUAGAUAUGUCAUAGAACACCAAUUGCGAAGGCAGCUGACUGGACCUAGUUUGACGCUGAGGCACGAAAGCGUGGGGAGCGAACAGGAUUAGAUACCCUGGUAGUCCACGCCCUAAACGAUGGGUACUAGUCGUCGGAGGUAUCCACCCCUUCGGUGACGAAGCAAACGCAUUAAGUACCCCGCCUGGGGAGUACGGCCGCAAGGUUGAAACUCAAAUGAAUUGGCGGGG
rnacentral:rRNA from 1 species